AAUGCUUGUAUACAUGGUUAAAUCAGCUCAAGAUUCAUAAAAGAUAAGUUUUGCACAAAUUGGAGAAAAAUCAAGAAUUUAGCUACUGGAUCGUGCCACGAUGGACCUGAAUCGUGGCACGUUUGAAGCGUGGAAUUUACCUGAAGAUAUUGGAAAAAGCGUGGCACGAUGGAUAUGUAACGCGCCACGAUGGUUUAGUAAAUUUGCUGUCACGUCAGAUUAAUGAAGGAAUCAUGCCACGAUGGACGUGAAACGUGGCACGAUGGUGGGCUUUUCUGAAACCGUAAAUUCUUUUUCUAUAAAAUUCAUAUGCGAUCAGAAGCUUUGUGUGCGAUUUUGGAGACCUAAACAGAGCAUAGACAACACCAGGAAGUUGAAGAGCACGCAGUGGAUC
rnacentral:lncRNA from 1 species